rnacentral:rRNA from 1 species
GACGAACGCUGGCGGCGUGCUUAACACAUGCAAGUCGAACGGACAGGCCCUGCUUUUGUUGGUUGCUCGAGUGGCGCACGCGUGAGUAAAACGCGAGUAACCUGCCCUUGACUUUCGGAUAACUUCAGGAAACUGGGGCUCAUACCGGAUAGGAGCUCCUGCUGCAUGGUGUGGGUUGGAAAGUUUCGGCGGUUGGGGAUGGACUCGCGGCUUAUCCGCUUGUUGGUGGGGUAGUGGCUUACCAAGGCUUUGACGGGUAGCCGGCCUGAGAGGGGGACCGGCCACAUGGGGACUGAGAUACGGCCCAGACGCCUACGUGAGGCAGCAGGGGGGAAUAUGGCACAAUGGGCGGAAGCGUGAUGCAGCAACGCCGCGUGCGGGAUGACGGCCUACGGGUGGUAAACCGCUGUCGCCUGUGACGAAGAGGGAGUGACGGUAAUGGGUAAAGAAGCACCGGCUAACUACGUG